rnacentral:misc_RNA from 1 species
GUUCAUGUUGCCAAGGAACUAUGAGAUGGCAAGUGGUGUUGCUCCUAGGAUCAGUAAUUCUUUACCACAAACAGCCCAUUCUCUAGAUUACUUGAGUGGGCGAGAUGCAGCUAGUUCCCUGAUGCCUGAAGAUAUGGGAUGGAUGACUUUGCCUCAGAGUUCAGGCGUAAAUGACACAUUGGGGAAACCGUACCUGAGGUCUUGGAAUCAAUAAGAACAUUUUGUUUUGCAGUUCAAAAUUAUGAUCUUGGUUGGAAGAUUUUAUGGCAAGAAAAUGUGCAUGCCACAGGAUUUGAUGACUUGUUAUCCAUCAGAGAAGAUGACAGCAGAUUUGCAGCAGUGCGUGACAGAAAUAGGAUUUUGUACAUACCUUAUACAAGAGCCA